GCUGUGCAGUGUGUGCCUGGCGCAUGGCCUGAGUAACAUUCCAGAAACUUGCCUCGCUGCCUGCCUUCCGAGAACAGC